rnacentral:antisense_RNA from 1 species
AGAGGAGGGAGUCCCGGCGGGAGGGCGGGGGAGAGGCUGGCGGGAGGGGGGCUCCACGGAGCUGCAGCCAGGGCUGCGGUGCGCCUGCACGUCACGGCUACUCAAACCCAAGCACGUCCCGAAAGCGGUAUUUUCUGCGUCUGGGAGGUUUUUGCAUCCUCAGUUCCCACCGCUGGGGCUGGCGGCGACCAACUGUAAGAGAAACUCACUGGGAGGCGAGGCAGGGGGGUGCGGAGGAUGGGAAGGCGACUCUGAAGGGUGGGAAGUGAAUGCCGGACUUGAUCGUCUUUCUCUUUCUUUCAGCGCAGACCUGUCGCGGCCAGAGAGCUGUCAUUUCUGCACCGGGAUUCAGAAUUGAUCCAGUCCGCAGCGGAGGGGGCACAUCCCAGCUCCCGAGCUGCUGAGUGUCUCUGGCUGGAACAAUAGUAUUUUUUUCUCUGCGAGGCUGCAAUUAACAUCUUAUUUGUUCUGGCUCCAUACAGGCUUUGUCAGGAUCGCGGUGCGGCGACCGAGGUUGGGCUCUUGCAUUGCUUUCUGCUUGGCAAUGGAAUCAUGGUUUCGGGGUCUAAACUUUUGUUUCGUUUUGUAGUCUUAAUGUAUCUGAUUCUUUUUCAAGUUUCCCUAGUAACAGGUUUGGGGACGGGGUGGGAAGAAACGAGAAAAGGGGUGAAGAGAAACAACCAGAUUAUACAGAAAGGAAAAAUGGAAAAGGGAUGUUUCACCGCCUUUUAAUCUAUCUAUCUGCCUGUCUAUCUGUCUAUCAUCUAUCAGUCAUUUUGCCUCCUGGACAGUUGGCUGACGAAGUGUCUGAUAAACCAGCUUCAGAUACAUGCUACAAAAGGUCAUUCGCCUCCUGAUUAUGUUUCUACUUGUAAACGCAGUUGGUGGUUUGCAAAACAAGUGCUAAAAUAGUGCAGUGAUGUGGUGGGAGGAAACCAUAAUGGGCAAUUCAUAUAAAGUGCUGGAAUCUUGGUAAGGGUGAGUUUCUCGAGCGGCAGGUGAAGUUGAAUAAAGCAAUUUUCCAUCAUUUGUUCCCCUCACUCUUUUGCAUUUUUUUCCUCCGCUUGUUUCUCUCCCCUGGGGCGAUUAUGGAUAGCCAAGAACACGAACACCAUUUUAAAAGAGAUUGAUAGUGAAAACAGGAAGUUUAUGGUCUAUUAUCCACUGGAGUUGUUUGAAAUAUUAGAAUUGGUCCUUUACUUCUUAAUGCAUAUUAAUAGAGUGACCCUCUUCAAGGCUUUCCCGUCUUAAACGAGUGCCUGGGAUAAACACUCUGUAAGGGAAACAGUUAAUAAUUCCCCAGCAGGCUUUAACUAUUUUCCCAGUAACAAAUCACCGGCAAGAGAGCAGCCUGGGUGGCAUUUUGGUUUUGUGUCAUUUUGGUUCUUUACAAUAUUUUUUAUUCAUUUAAGGAAAUGUUAAAAGGAAAUAAUUAGGGUUUAUGUCCAGAACAAAUUUUGAAACACCGUUUAAGCAAACACAUUUUCUUUUAAAAACAAAGAACAUUGAGCAACACAAAGGAGAAAAACAUUUUAUUUAUUUCAACUUCCCUAGAGAUCAUAAUUAUGAUUUUUGCAAGGCAAUUUGGUCAGUUCUGUUACUUUAUCCAGAGGAAAAAACAAACAUGACAGACGUGGAAUAAAAACGAGGAAAAAAAUGCUUUGGAUGGUUUAUACAUAAAAAGGAAAGAAUGUAAUGUGAGGUUCAGUUAUACCUCUAUUUUGCAUCUAGUGAUUUCUCAUAUUAUCUUGUAACACCGUGAUUUUGAUGUUUCUUAGAAAUUCUUAAAGUCAUGACACGGUGGCAUAAGAAUAACAGCUGAAAGGGACAAUUUAAAAGCCUUAAUCCUAAAUGGAAAGGAUCACUUACUCCCAGGAUCGUUUAUAUUCAAGUAGAAGUCAGGGCAGGGUCAGAAAAGAAAGCCACCCUUAAUAAAGCGCUUCACCCUUCACAUUGUUUCUCAUAACCUUCAUAAAUUGCAGGCUACUGAGCUGGCCUGAUGAUGAUCCAGCUGAGAUAUAUUUAUAGCAGAUGAUUUGUGGAUGAUAACUAUGCCAAGCAAGACACUGUCUCCAGUAACCCCAGGCUCGUCUGACUUCCUCAGGGGAUUAUAAUAAAGAUUCACAAAAAGAACCCUAUAUGGACAGUCUGGUCUCUGGACACUAACAACAGCACAAUCCAAAGGCAAAGCAAGGAGGAACCACCUUGUUUCAUGUCUGCAAGAUGCUCCAUAUGAAAGCAUUGCUGACAUGUUGACCCAACAGCAAAAAGAGAGCAGCAGUUUACACACCCUCAGCUCUCUGUCCUUUCCUUUCUAUUGAUGUUGGUCCACUUUUAUGACUGAAUACAUAUUAAAAUCAACAUUUCAAAUUAUAA